UCUAACUGCGGCUUGAAGCCCUCGCUGAGCCAUCAAAGAAGACGAGGCUGCUUUCAUUACCUUUGACAGAGGAACAUGUUUGGAUGUUUGCUGACUUGCGCUGCCUGACCAGUUGGAGGGAAAGGAGCAGAAAGGCUCACUUAACACAGAAACGUUUUAACAAGGUGCAAGAAGAAAAGUAGAAGUCAGGAAUCGGGAAGACUGGAUGGACGCUAUUUCACAAGAUUGGUCCUCAAAAGUGGGUACAAUAGGUGGAAACUGUACUCAAGUGAUACUGUUAUUUUAGAAUGAUAAAAAUGAAGUAAAGGUAAAAAGUAGUCCUCCAAAUAAUUACUUAAGUAUUCAGUGGAAAGAAGAAUUUAGUGGGAUGGAAUGGAAUAAAGAAAAGGUGGCAUUUCUUCUCACCGAAAAUGAAAAGUAAAACAGGGGAUGAAGACUUGAGACUUGCAGGCCCACUCAUGGUAAACAUGUCUACCAAAAUUCAUGUUGUGAAGUGAAACUGGCUCCUGGGGCUGAGGUUUCAACAGAGGUCUUUGAAGUCACUCCUCAGGAACACUCCUACGGGUCAAAGGGGGGAAAGGCCAAGCAGAUAACGUGUACACAGAAGAUAACACACAAUGGAGGCUCUGUGAAUUCCGACCAGAGGAGAAAUUUCCACACUCACAUUCCACGUCCCUGACAAUGCACACAGACGCUCUCUCUCACCCACAAGCACGCUCUCAUGCAUUCAUGUCAUCAAUGUGUUCAUGAUUACGGUUGUGUUUGGGGUCAUUCAUUUAAACAUUGACCCUGGUCAUGGCUUAUAGUCAUCUUAUUUUGUUUAAGUUUGUGGUCAUGUUUUUAAUCAUGUUUUGUUCAUGAUUUUUAUAUUUUUGGGGAGCAUGAUUUGUGUUCAUAUAUUUCAGUUGUGCCUUUUGGUUCUAGCUUUGACCUAUUUCUUGCCAUCGGAUUUUAAUUUAAUUUGAGUCCAGACUUGAGUAGGCCACUCUAAAACUUUGAUUUAACUUUUUGAUUUUUUGUUUUUUAUCCAUUCAAAGUUGACUUGCUCUUGUGUUUUUGAUUGCCGUCACUCUGCGGAACCCGAGUUCGCUUCAGCUUGAGGUCAUGUGUCAGGACUUGUAGUGAGUUGGACCCAGAAGCAGAGACAAGAGAAUAGGGAGUUGGGAAAUGAAUGUUUUUGUGCAAGCCCUUGUUUUGGGUUUGAAAUCACUGAAAUCCCUGCGGCUAUCCUGCAAGGAGAUUGGCUUUACACUUGAGUCCAUCCCAAAAUGUGCAGCUUUGAAAAUGUGCUGCAUUUCCCCUCCAAGACAGGGGGUGUCGCUACGGCUGCUAUUGGCACAGACAGCACAGUUUGGAGUUUCCUCAGCAUGUUUCAGCCAUUUCCGCUAGCCGCUUUAAUUUCCUUUCCGUAACAAAUAGGAAAGAAAGAACAAUGGUGACCGUGAAAUAGUGUCUGCUACAACAAAUGAACUUAGAUGAUAAGAUGAUAUGUUAAACAUGCUGCAAAGGAUGUACCACCUUCCAAAAGUCUCCCAAAAGUCCCGCAAUCAUCCAAAUGUUUUCUUCUGUUUAUUUGAUUUUUUUGCAAAGGAAGACCUUUAUGUACUGUUUGGUCAGCAGUAUUUUCUCCUUUGGAAUGAUCUUAACUGAGAAAAAGGAGGCCUGCAGUUCUUUGGAUAUUCCCCCUAGCAUCCUUUGUGAGCUCCUGUAUGAGCAGUCUCGAAACAUGGAAUAGUGGCCUACAGUGCAUCUGUUCACGGGAUAAUUUUUGUAGGCCUCUUUUCCAUAUUUCCUUCAUUUGAGGAUACUGUCUCUCACUGUGGUUCGCUUAAGUCCUACAGCUUAAGAAAUUUUAUGUGUAACCCUUCGCACACUGAUAUGUGUCAACUUCAUUUCUCAUCUGUUCUUCAAUUUCUUUUGAUUGCUGCAUUUUGUUGCAGCUUUUUCAGCUUUUUAAGUUGAAUUCAUUUUGUCAAACAGGUUCAAUUUAAGUAAUUUCUUGAUUGAACAGGCCUGGAGGUAAUCAGGCUUGGAUGUAGUAAGUGAUUUGUUUUCUAACAAGGGGGGCAAAUACGUCUUCACACAGGGCCAGAUAGCUUUGAAUUUUAUUUUUCCCUUGAAUAAAAUCUUUUAAACACUG